rnacentral:rRNA from 1 species
AACGAACGCUGGCGGCAUGCCUAACACAUGCAAGUCGAACGAGACCUUCGGGUCUAGUGGCGCACGGGUGCGUAACGCGUGGGAACCUGCCCUUAGGUUCGGAAUAACUCCUCGAAAGGGGUGCUAAUACCGGAUAAUGUCUUCGGACCAAAGAUUUAUCGCCUUUGGAUGGGCCCGCGUUGGAUUAGCUAGUUGGUAGGGUAAAAGCCUACCAAGGCGACGAUCCAUAGCUGGUCUGAGAGGAUGAUCAGCCACACUGGGACUGAGACACGGCCCAGACUCCUACGGGAGGCAGCAGUGGGGAAUAUUGGACAAUGGGCGAAAGCCUGAUCCAGCAAUGCCGCGUGAGUGAUGAAGGCCUUAGGGUUGUAAAGCUCUUUUACCCGGGAUGAUAAUGACAGUACCGGGAGAAUAAGCUCCGGCUAACUCCGU